UACAGAGGUCCCGAGCGUUGUUCGGAUUCAUUGGGCGUAAAGGGUGCGUAGGUGGCGCUGUAAGUGGGGUGUGAAAUCCCGGGGCUUAACCCCGGGACUGCAUUCCAUACUGCGGUGCUUGAGGACUGGAGAGGAGACUGGAAUUUACGGUGUAGCAGUGAAAUGCGUAGAUAUCGAGAGGAACACCAGUGGCGAAGGCGAGUCCCUGGACAACACCUGACACUGAGGCACGAAAGCCGGGGGAGCAAACAGG
rnacentral:rRNA from 1 species